CCCUUAGAUGUUCUGAACCGCACGCGUGUUACACUGAUGCAUUCAACGAGCUUUACCUUGGCCGAGAGGCCUGGGAAAUCUUUUUAGCAUGCAUCGUGAUAGGGAUUGAUUAUUGCAAUUAUUAAUCAUGAACGAGGAAUUCCUAGUAAACGCAUUUCAUCAAAAUGCAUUGAUUACGUCCCUGCCCUUUGUACACACCGCCCGUCGCACCUACCGAUUGAGUGGUCCGGUGAAGUCUCGAGAUUGUGGCAAUCUCCUUUAUUGGAGUUUGACUGCGAGAACUUGCCUAAACCUUAUCACUUAGAGGAAGGUGAAGUCGUAACA
rnacentral:rRNA from 1 species